rnacentral:rRNA from 1 species
AGUGAACGCUGGCGGUAGGCCUAACACAUGCAAGUCGAACGGCAGCACAGUAAGAGCUUGCUCUUACGGGUGGCGAGUGGCGGACGGGUGAGGAAUACAUCGGAAUCUACUUUUUCGUGGGGGAUAACGUAGGGAAACUUACGCCAAUACCGCAUACGACCUACGGGUGAAAGCAGGGGAUCUUCGGACCUUGCGCGAUUGAAUGAGCCGAUGUCGGAUUAGCUAGUUGGCGGGGUAAAGGCCCACCAAGGCGACGAUCCGUAGCUGGUCUGAGAGGAUGAUCAGCCACACUGGAACUGAAACACGGUCCAGACUCCUACGGGAGGCAGCAGUGGGGAAUAUUGGACAAUGGGCGCAAGCCUGAUCCAGCCAUACCGCGUGGGUGAAGAAGGCCUUAGGGUUGUAAAGCACUUUUGUUGGGGAAGAAAAGCAGCAAGUUAAUACCCCGCUGUUCUGACGGUACCCAAAGAAUAAGCACCGGCUAACUUCGUG